CGCAAGCCUGACGGAGCAAGACCGCGUGAGGGAGGAAGGCUCUUGGGUUGUAAACCUCUUUUAUCAGGGAAGAAGCUCUGACGGUACCUGAUGAAUCAGCAUCGGCUAACUCCGUGCCAGCAGCCGCGGUAAUACGGAGGAUGCAAGCGUUAUCCGGAUUUAUUGGGCGUAAAGCGUCCGCAGGUGGUUUGACAAGUCUGCUGUUAAAGCGCGAGGCUUAACCUCGUACAGGCGGUGGAAACUGUCAGACUAGAGUAUGGUAGGGGUAGCGGGAAUUCCCAGUGUAGCGGUGAAAUGCGUAGAUAUUGGGAAGAACACCAGCGGCGAAAGCGCGCUACUGGGCCAUAACUGACACUCAUGGACGAAAGCUAGGGGAGCG
rnacentral:rRNA from 1 species